GGCUCGGUGGUCUAGGUGGCAUGAUUCUCGCUUUGCAAGUGAGAGGUCCCGUUCAAAUCCCGACCGAGCCC